GAAAGCAGACAGGGGCUGGAGGAGAUGAUGCAGACAUGAGUGUGUGACUACCAGCUCAUAGCAUGAUUAUAGCAUGAUUAUAUCGUAAAAUACUGCACCUCUGACAGAGAAACAUUCGCUAUUUCUAAGAGGAAAAUGAAAGUGGCAAAAAAAGAGGAAGAGAUGCAAUCUAAUAAAUCGAGAGAGAGAGAGAUGCGGAGAAAGAGCAUUAAUAGCGGCAGACCAAACUUUUCUCAUGAUCCAGACACACCUGAAGAGAUUCAUUCUGAUAAAUCAGAUGGAGACACAGACACGGUAUCUGAAAUAUGAUUUUACUGGAGAAGAUCAGAGGCAGAAGUGUUUCAAAAUAAAUGUCCUCUAUGCUUUCACUUUUUCUUAAUUCUAGCUAAAUGAUGUCUAAAACUUUGUAUUGCUUGCACUUCUGAUGUUAGAUAUAUUUCAUUUGCAUGUCUCUUUAGAUUUAGUGUCAGCUAAAUUAAUACAUGUAAACUGUACUGUAAAUAAAUGAUUAUGAAAUAAAUUCUAGUCUGAAAUAUAUAUAUAUAUA